rnacentral:rRNA from 1 species
UACGAAGGGGGCUAGCGUUGCUCGGAAUUACUGGGCGUAAAGCGCACGUAGGCGGUUUCUUAAGUCGGGGGUGAAAUCCUGGAGCUCAACUCCAGAACUGCCUUCGAUACUGAGAGACUUGAGUCCGGGAGAGGUGAGUGGAACUGCGAGUGUAGAGGUGAAAUUCGUAGAUAUUCGCAAGAACACCAGUGGCGAAGGCGGCUCACUGGCCCGGUACUGACGCUGAGGCACGAAAGCGUGGGGAGCAAACAGG